GUGCAGGAAUGCAGGAACUGAAAUCACAUUCCUUUCUCCUUUGUUUCGGAUGAGCCAUGUGGUCUGCCCAUAUAAGGAAAUCCAGAUCCUGUCCACCGAUUAGUUAAGGGUAUGUGCGGGUGGAGCUAUUAUUGGGAGGAGUUAUAGUUUUAUAAAAAGCAUGUACGCCAUGUGUUCAGCCCUCAGACCUGUUUUGGAAUGUUAAUUCAUCUGAGAACCGAUCGGUAUGUUAAUAAAGACUUUUUACUUCCUGAAGACCUGCAUCCAUCUCUCAGUGUCUUGCUUCUGCAAGUUUACUCGGUUACACUCUCAGUUCUUAUCCUACCCCACAAACCCUCUCUUUUACACUACACACAUAUACAAUGCAUCCCUACUCACACACAGACACACCGGAACACACAAUGCAUCACUUACACGCGCACACACACAGAAAUAAACAAACAGACACACACUGCAUUUAAUUACACACACAGAAACACACCUUGCAUUCCUUACACAAUAGAUCACUUACACAAUUUGGUAUCCCUAUACACUACAUUCCAUAAGAAAACACACACAUUACAUCCUCUACAAUAACACAUAACACAUCCCCUACACACAUACACUCCACUCCCUAUGAGAGAACUUAUGGGCGGGCCAUGUAGGUGGAUUUAUGGGUGGGCCUUGUAGGCCUACUCACAGUCAGACCCCGGGGGCCCAGACCUUGUUAAUUUUUGUGAGCACUGUUACAAACAAAGAGCAAAAAUGGGUCGCAAGAUUAUUCUGAGAACAGACAGCAGCUAAAAUAGCCUGCCCUUCGGUGGGUCCCUGCUCAGAACGCAAGCUGGUUUUAGCUCAUCUUGUGCCAUUACAGAGAGAACAUAUCUGAAGCAUAUCAGACUGGUCCCACCCAUACGGGCAGUCCAGAUCCGAAAUGCCAGCAAGUUCUCUCUGCACGAGAGAUACAGCAACCCCAGAUGAUUGUUUCAGCCUUGUUAGGCAUCAUCAGUGAGGCAUAGCUGAGGCACCGUGAGCAAGGGGUCCACGUCUGGAUUACCC